rnacentral:rRNA from 1 species
GAUGAACGCUGGCGGCGUGCCUAAUACAUGCAAGUCGAGCGAACGGACGAGAAGCUUGCUUCUCUGAUGUUAGCGGCGGACGGGUGAGUAACACGUGGAUAACCUACCUAUAAGACUGGGAUAACUUCGGGAAACCGGAGCUAAUACCGGAUAAUAUUUUGAACCGCAUGGUUCAAAAGUGAAAGACGGUCUUGCUGUCACUUAUAGAUGGAUCCGCGCUGCACUAGCUAGUUGGUAAGGUAACGGCUUACCAAGGCAACGAUGCAUAGCCGACCUGAGAGGGUGAUCGGCCACACUGGAACUGAGACACGGUCCAGACUCCUACGGGAGGCAGCAGUAGGGAAUCUUCCGCAAUGGGCGAAAGCCUGACGGAGCAACGCCGCGUGAGUGAUGAAGGUCUUCGGAUCGUAAAACUCUGUUAUUAGGGAAGAACAUAUGUGUAAGUAACUGUGCACAUCUUGACGGUACCUAAUCAGAAAGCCACGGCUAACUACGUGCCAGCAGCCGCGGUAAUACGUAGGUGGCAAGCGUUAUCCGGAAUUAUUGGGCGUAAAGCGCGCGUAGGCGGUUUUUUAAGUCUGAUGUGAAAGCCCACGGCUCAACCGUGGAGGGUCAUUGGAAACUGGAAAACUUGAGUGCAGAAGAGGAAAGUGGAAUUCCAUGUGUAGCGGUGAAAUGCGCAGAGAUAUGGAGGAACACCAGUGGCGAAGGCGACUUUCUGGUCUGUAACUGACGCUGAUGUGCGAAAGCGUGGGGAUCAAACAGGAUUAGAUACCCUGGUAGUCCACGCCGUAAACGAUGAGUGCUAAGUGUUAGGGGGUUUCCGCCCCUUAGUGCUGCAGCUAACGCAUUAAGCACUCCGCCUGGGGAGUACGACCGCAAGGUUGAAACUCAAAGGAAUUGACGGGGACCCGCACAAGCGGUGGAGCAUGUGGUUUAAUUCGAAGCAACGCGAAGAACCUUACCAAAUCUUGACAUCCUUUGACAACUCUAGAGAUAGAGCCUUCCCCUUCGGGGGACAAAGUGACAGGUGGUGCAUGGUUGUCGUCAGCUCGUGUCGUGAGAUGUUGGGUUAAGUCCCGCAACGAGCGCAACCCUUAAGCUUAGUUGCCAUCAUUAAGUUGGGCACUCUAAGUUGACUGCCGGUGACAAACCGGAGGAAGGUGGGGAUGACGUCAAAUCAUCAUGCCCCUUAUGAUUUGGGCUACACACGUGCUACAAUGGACAAUACAAAGGGCAGCGAAACCGCGAGGUCAAGCAAAUCCCAUAAAGUUGUUCUCAGUUCGGAUUGUAGUCUGCAACUCGACUACAUGAAGCUGGAAUCGCUAGUAAUCGUAGAUCAGCAUGCUACGGUGAAUACGUUCCCGGGUCU